rnacentral:rRNA from 1 species
GAUGAACGCUGGCGGCGUGCUUAACACAUGCAAGUCGAACGAAGCAUUUGCGACAUCUUUUUUCGGAAUGAAGUUGCUUAUGACUGAGUGGCGGACGGGUGAGUAACGCGUGGGUAACCUGCCUUGUACUGGGGGAUAGCAGCUGGAAACGGCUGGUAAUACCGCAUAAGCGCACAAUGUUGCAUGACAUUGUGUGAAAACCUCCGGUGGUAUAAGAUGGACCCGCGUCUGAUUAGCUAGUUGGUGAGGUAACAGCCCACCAAGGCUACGAUGCGUAGCCGACCGGAGAGGGGGCACGGCCACACUCGAACUGAGACAGCGUCGACACUCCUACGGGAGGCGGAAGUAGGGAAUAUUGCGGAAUGGGCGAAAGCCUGACGGAGCAAAGCCGCGUGAGGGAGGAAGGGCUUCGGAUCGGAAAACUCUGUUAGUCGGGAAGAACAAAUGUGUAAGGAACUAUGCACGUCUUGACGGUACCUAAUCAGAAAGCCACGGCUAACUACUUG